rnacentral:rRNA from 1 species
CAAUAGCGUAUAUUAAAGUUGUUGUGGUUAAAAAGCUCGUAGUUGGAUUUCUGCCGAGGACGACCGGUCCGCCCUCUGGGUGAGUAUCUGGCUCGGCCUGGGCAUCUUCUUGGAGAACGUAGCUGCACUUGACUGUGUGGUGCGGUAUCCAGGACUUUUACUUUGAGGAAAUUAGAGUGUUUCAAGCAGGCUUACGCCUUGAAUACAUUAGCAUGGAAUAAUAAGAUAGGACCUCGGUUCUAUUUUGUUGGUUUCUAGAGCUGAGGUAAUGAUUAAUAGGGAUAGUUGGGGGCAUUCGUAUUUAACUGUCAGAGGUGAAAUUCUUGGAUUUGUUAAAGACGGACUACUGCGAANGNAUUUGCNAAGGAUGUUUNCAUUG